AGCACCUCGGGCCUUCUCGUGGCUACCUGUAUGCUUCCCUGAGACCUGAUUUGCGAGCCCUUUUUGCUGGUUUUCGCCAGAGGUUUUUUACCAAAUCAAAAUUUCAACCAUUGGCUGGGCGCGGGGUUGAAGGAAGAGGACGGGGAAGUUCAAUGAUGGAUGGGAACAACAGUCUUAGAUGAUAGGGAUAAUUAAGAGGGCAUAGUUGGGGACUUGUGGUUAUUUUGCACAGCUCUCUACUCUCAGUCCCGUGUUUGGAAAUGAGGAUGCUCCAUGUGCUACCCUAAAAAACCAUUUAUGUAAGUGGACUAAGCUAAAACUGCCACAGCUAAACUAUUCCUGCCUCCCUGCUUGCUUCUCCCAUCUCUGUUCCAUAGUCUUUGGCGCUAUUUACAUAUAGGCCUUAAUCCGUUAGCAUCUCGUCUGAGAGUCUUGACACCAUUUUUGUUUGUUUUGAGACAGAGUCUAACUCUGUUUCCCAGGCUGGAGUGCAAUGGGGCGAUCUCGGCUCACUACAAGCUCCACCUCCCACGUUCAGAGGACUCCGUACCUCAGCCUCCCUAGUAGCUGGGAUUACAGGCGUGUGCCACCACACCUGGCUAGUUUUUGUAUUUUUAGUAGAGAUGGGGGUUUCACGAUGUUGGCCAGACUGGUCUCGAACUCGUGGCCUCAAGUGACCUGCCUGUCUUGGCCUCCCAAAGUGCUGGGAUUACAGUUGUGAGCCACAUAGCCCAGCUGAUUAUUGUAUUUUUAGUAGAGAUGUGGUUUCACCAUGUUGGCCAGGCUGGUCUCAAACUCCUGGCCUCAGGUCAUCCACCUGCCUCAGCCUCUUAAAGUGCUGGGAUUACAGGCAUGAGUCACCGCACCCAGCUGACACCAUUUAUUUUUGUACUGAUAAUAAGGCACAUUUGACUCUAGAGGUUUGUAAAGCCCUUGAAAACAAGGAUCUUGUUAUAUGCCAUGUAUGUUAGUUAACGUUAAUUAAAGCAGCCUUUUUUAUAAAAGAUCUGUAAAAAUAAUAGCUAAAAUUCAAAAGCAAGGUGCUGAGAGACAGAGGAAAGGUGAGCAAGCUCACUUUUUAUUUAUUUUUUUGAGAUGAGGUCUUGCCCUGUCACCCACGCUGGAGUGCAGUGGCACCAUCAGGGCUCAUUGCUGCUUCAACCUCCUGAGCUCCUGGGCUGAAGUGAUCCUCCCACCUCAGCCUCACGAGUAGCUAGGAACACAGGUGCAUGCCACCAUGCUUGGCUAAUUUUUUUAUUUCUUGUAGAGAUUGGGUAUCGCUAUUUUGUCCAGGCUGGUCUUGAACUCCUGGACUCAGGUGAUCCUCCUACCUUGGCCUCCCAAAGUGUUGGGAUUACAGACUGGACUCUGUGCCUCAUGCCAGUAAUCCCAGCACUUUGGGAGGCUGAGGUGGGUGGAUCGCUUGAGCCCAGGAGUUCGAGACCAGCCUGGGAAACAUGGCGAAACCCUGUCUCUACUAAAAACACAAAAAUUAGAUGGGUGUGGUGGUGUGCAUCUGUAAUCCCAGCUACUCUGGAGGCUGAGACAGGAGAACUGCUUGAACCCAAGAGACGGAGGUUGCAGUGAGCCAAGAUAGUGCCACUGCACU